UAUUGUGGUGGUUUGUGUAUUUGGCGGAUCUGUAACGGUGUCAGAGCGGCCUUAAACUACCACAGAGAUCAGAAAGGAGAUGGCUACGCUGUGAGCUUUUUUCAAGCUUUUAGUUUUCAGCUUUUUGUUCAGCUCCUACAGAA
rfam:Chlamydotis undulata macqueenii contig4871, whole genome shotgun sequence.